rnacentral:rRNA from 1 species
UACAGAGGGUGCAAGCGUUAAUCGGAAUUACUGGGCGUAAAGCGAGCGUAGUCGGUUAUUUAAGUCGGAUGUGAAAUCCCCGGGCUCAACCUGGGAAUUGCAUUCGAUACUGGAUAGCUAGGGUACGGUAGAGGGAAGCGGAAUUUCCGGUGUAGCGGUGAAAUGCGUAGAUAUCGGAAGGAACAUCAGUGGCGAAAGCGGCUUCCUGGACCAGUACCGACGUUCAGGCACGAAAGCGUGGGGAGCAAACAGG